rnacentral:rRNA from 1 species
AGGGUUCGAUUCUGACUCAGGAUGAACGCUGGCGGCGUGCUUAACACAUGCAAGUCGAACGGAAACAGACGCCGAUUGAAGCUUCGGCAGAAAUCAUGUUGUUUAGUGGCGGACGGGUGAGUAACGCGUGGGUAACCUGCCUUAUACCGGGGGGAUAACACCUAGAAAUAAGUGCUAAUACCGCAUAAGCGCACAAGAUCGCAUGAGAAUGUGUGAAAAACUCCGGUGGUAUAAGAUGGACCCGCGUCUGAUUAGCCAGUUGGUGAGGUAACGGCUCACCAAAGCAACGAUCAGUAGCCGGCCUGAGAGGGUGAACGGCCACAUUGGGACUGAGACACGGCCCAAACUCCUACGGGAGGCAGCAGUGGGGAAUAUUGGACAAUGGAGGAAACUCUGAUCCAAGCGACGCCGCGUGAGUGAAGAAGUAUUUCGGUAUGUAAAGCUCUAUCAGCAGGGAAGAUAAUGACGGUACCUGACUAAGAAGCCCCGGCUAACUACGUGCCAGCCGCCGC